AUUUUGUCUUCUUUUUUGAAAGGGAAGCUUCGACAGAGCUGUAGACAUUUCAAAACCCCUCCGUUAUGACGUUGUCAACAUUGGAGGCAGUAACGCACAGCGGGACAUCUUCAACUUAUUCCUGAUUUACGCUGCUCUGCAUUCUUCACGAAAAGAGCAUCAUCACUUGGCAAGGAGCUUAUUGACAGAGAGAAAGGCAAUGAAAAAAAA